GAUGAACGCUGGCGGCGUGCUUAACACAUGCAAGUCGAACGGAAAGGCCCAAGCUUGCUUAGGUACUCGAGUGGCGAACGGGUGAGUAACACGUGGGUGAUCUGCCCUGCACUUCGGGAUAAGCCUGGGAAACUGGGUCUAAUACCGGAUAGGACGAUGGUUUGGAUGCCAUUGUGGAAAGUUUUUUCGGUGUGGGAUGAGCUCGCGGCCUAUCAGCUUGUUGGUGGGGUAAUGGCCUACCAAGGCGUCGACGGGUAGCCGGCCUGAGAGGGUGUACGGCCACCAUUGGGACUGGGAAAGGGCCAGGCUCCCACGGGGGGGAGGAGGGGGGGAUAUUGCACAAAGGGGGGAAGCCCUAUGGCGCGGCGGCGCGUUGGGGAUGACGGCCUUCGGGUUGUAAACUCCUUUCGCUAGGGACGAAGCGUUUUUGUGACGGUACCUGGAGAAGAAGCACCGGCUAACUACGUG
rnacentral:rRNA from 1 species